AGCGAACGCUGGCGGCAGGCUUAACACAUGCAAGUCGAGCGGGCAUCCUUGUGGUGUCAGCAGCAGACGGGUGAGUAACGCGUGGGAACGUGCCCUUCGGUUCGGAAUAACUCAGGGAAACUUGAGCUAAUACCGGAUACGUGCGAGAGCAGAAAGGUUUAUCUGCCGAAGGAUCGGCCCGCGUCUGAUUAGCUAGUUGGUGAGGUUACGGCUCACCAAGGCGACGAUCAGUAGCUGGUCUGAGAGGAUGAUCAGCCACACUGGGACUGAGGCACGGCCCAGACCCCCUAGGAAGGGAACAGGGGGGAAUAUUGAUAACGGGGGGCGACCUUGCUACCACCUUUCCGAGGGAGGUAGGGAGGCCUGUGGGAGGAAAAGCUCUUUUCGCCGGGACGAUAAGGGCGGGACCGGGGGAAAGAGCCGCGGUGAAUUGCGC
rnacentral:rRNA from 1 species